CUUGGCUCGCGCAACGAUGAAGGACGCAGCGAACUGCGAAACGCAAUGUGAAUUGCAGAAUUCAGUGAAUCAUCAGAUUUCUGAACGCAUAAUGGCACC
rnacentral:rRNA from 1 species